AGGACUCCUACUCAUUGACUGUUCUAGGCCCUGUAUGAUCACAGAACAAAAAGCAUAAGACAAGAAAGAACAGAUGGAUACACACAGCAUACUGUGUGCACUCAGAAGAUGUGGAACCUCCCUGAAGUGCAGAUGAGCUGCACAAUUUUCCAUGGCAUCAUGAGGAUGUGUGACAUAAGGCCAUGCAGGUACUGCUGUUCUAUCCAGAGUGCACUGAAGGAGCCUGAUGAAGGUUAAUAAUUAUAGCCCAGUGAUUGAUUUCGCCUUUCCAGUUUACUCAUUCCUCAUAAAGAACUGCACAUUGCCUUUGGGAAGAUGUGCCAUAUCUCAGGUUGAUACCAUAAGUACAAACAGGAUUCUAGGUGAGGUCUAAUUCCUCCAGUCAUGCUACCUACUAUUUCAAGUUGACGUUUCUUCCAUAUUACUUAAUCAGAUCUGCCUGUGCAUAUGUGUAUAUGUAUAAGAGCAUGCUUCCAGAUUUAAAGACACCAUUUGAAGCAAGUACAGCAACGUUUGUUCCUAGGAAGAUCCCUGUUCAUAACACAGUAAUGCUUACAGAGGAGCAAUGCAUAGUGAUCAAAAAUCAUAAAUCAGAG